rnacentral:rRNA from 1 species
UACGUAGGGUGCAAGCGUUAAUCGGAAUUACUGGGCGUAAAGCGUGCGCAGGCGGUUCGCUAAGACAGAUGUGAAAUCCCCGGGCUUAACCUGGGAACUGCAUUUGUGACUGGCGGGCUAGAGUAUGGCAGAGGGGGGUAGAAUUCCACGUGUAGCAGUGAAAUGCGUAGAGAUGUGGAGGAAUACCGAUGGCGAAGGCAGCCCCCUGGGCCAAUACUGACGCUGAGGCGCGAAAGCGUGGGGAGCAAACGGG